rnacentral:lncRNA from 1 species
AUCAAACAGUAAUUGAUUGAUACAGUUCCAAAAUAUUCAUUCAAGUUAACGUGACUGAUUUAUUUACCAAAUCUCUACCAACGAUCGUUUUGAAGAUGGUGAACAAGAUUGGAAUGCAAAUGCUCAAGGAUGUGAAUUGAUGCUCUCUUCAGGGGGAGUUAAUGCGCGUUGCACUCUUUUUCCCUUACAAGGUUUUGUUCAAUGAUCUUUUGAAGAUGGUGCACAAGAUUGGGAUGCGAAGGUUCAAGGAUGAGAAUUGCUGCUCUCAUCAGGGAGAGUAAAUGCGAGUUGCAUUCUUUUUCCCUUACAAGGUUUUGUCCCACUGGGUUUUCCUUGCAAGGUUUUUAACGAGGCAACCAAUAGGCGCAUUUCUAAA